UACGAAGGGGGCUAGCGUUGCUCGGAAUCACUGGGCGUAAAGCGCACGUAGGCGGAUUCUUAAGUCAGGGGUGAAAUCCUGGAGCUCAACUCCAGAACUGCCUUUGAUACUGGGAAUCUCGAGUCCGGGAGAGGUGAGUGGAACUGCGAGUGUAGAGGUGAAAUUCGUAGAUAUUCGCAAGAACACCAGUGGCGAAGGCGGCUCACUGGCCCGAUACUGACGCUGAGGCACGAAGGCGUGGGGAGCGAACGGG
rnacentral:rRNA from 1 species